GGCUGCACCAAUUUGCAUUCCCACCAACAGUGCAAGAGGGUUCCUGUUUCUCCACAUCCUUGCCAGCAUCUAUAGUCUCCUGAUUUGUUCAUUUUGGCCACUCUGACUGGCGUGAGGUGGAUGCUGAUAUAUCAGUUAAGGGUGAAUCUUUGAAGUGAGUCAGCUGCAGCUUCGCUCUCCUAUAAUUGAAGAGAGAGAGAAUUACAGAGAAAGAGGCCAGGCACUUUUUCCUCCAGACAAAGCUGUGUGAGUGGUUAACCACAGAAGCAGAAGACUGAUGAGAAAAACAGUGACGGAGCCUGCGGUGGGGUUGAGGGAUUGGUUUUCAGACUUCCUUUGGAAAAUAAGAUUGUCAUAAAUUCUAGAUACUGAAAGAGUUCAGAAGGUGUGUAUCUUUCUGUUCUGUCAACUGCUGGUCCGGCUUUUUUCUUUGCCUCCCUCCCCACCCUCACUCCUCUCUUGACAGAAGUGAUCUGGGGGAGUAGAGCUCUACUUCACAAAAUAUUGGUCUGGGAAAGAGUUGCUGUCCUUCUCUGAUGAAGUUUCUUGGCUUUUGGAUGUAGUUAUAGAUGCACGCUUGGAUUUCUAAGAUCACCGUGUCUGUUCACAAAAUAAAGCUAAUGUCGUCGAAGAUUUAUUCCUUAAAAUAGAUGACCA